UACGGAGGGGGCUAGCGCUGUUCGGAAUUACUGGGCGUAAAGCGCGCGUAGGCGGACCUGCAAGUCGGGGGUGAAAGCCCGAGGCUCAACCUCGGAACUGCCUUCGAUACUGCGGGUCUCGAGUCCGGGAGAGGUGAGUGGAAUUCCUAGUGUAGAGGUGAAAUUCGUAGAUAUUAGGAAGAACACCAGUGGCGAAGGCGGCUCACUGGCCCGGUACUGACGCUGAGGCGCGAAAGCGUGGGGAGCAAACAGG
rnacentral:rRNA from 1 species